AGAGUUUGAUUAUGGCUCAGAAUGAACGCUGGCGGCGUGCUUCAGGCAUGCAAGUUGAACGAGAAAGUCAUCUUCGGGUGAUGAGUAGAGUGGCGCACGGGUGAGUAAGACUUAGAUAACGUACCCUCUUGCUGGGGAUAACUGGGGGAAACUCUAGCUAAUACCGAAUGAGACGCAAUUGGCCGAGGUCGAUUGCGGGAAAGUCGUAAGACGCGAGGGGAUCGGUCUGAGAACCAUUAGCUAGUUGGUGGGGUAAAGGCCUACCAAGGCGACGAUGGUUAGCCGGUCUGAGAGGAUGAUCAGCCACACUGGUACUGGAAUACGGACCAGACUCCUACGGGAGGCAGCAGCUGGGAAUUUUGCGCAAUGGGGGAGAACCCCCUGACGCAGCAACGCCGCGUGGACGAGGAAGGCCUUCGGGUUGUAAAGUCCUUUUAGUGGGAAAGAAGUCAAUGACGGUACCCGCAGAAGAAGCACCGGCUAACUCCGUGCCAGCCGCCGC
rnacentral:rRNA from 1 species